CCCGCAGCCCGGCCCCGCCGAGAGGAGCCGCGUCCCCGCGCCCCCGCCCUCGCCCUCGGCCCCUCCUCCCGGCAGCGGCAGGAUGUUGUUGCUCGAACCUCAGCGCUCGGAGCUCGGAACCCACGUACCAAAAAAGCCGCCGAUCAUUUCCUGUCAAUAGAUCUGCCCCAGCUCUUCAGAGAGACAGCGAGCUGCCAGAGCCGGCGAAAGAGAAACCACAGAGAGAGACGCCACACAUCAGAGCCGCCCAGCGCCAAGACCACCAGAGCCGGGGACGCGGCAGGGCAGGGCAGGGCGGAGCUGUGCCUGGAUCGCAGGGACCUGCUCCAAGAGUGGUGCAGGGGGGCAGAUGAGGGGGCGCUCAGCACCCGCGUGUCCGUGCCUGCCGUGUGGCCGCUUUCCUCACCUUCUUGAGUAACGUUGUGCGGGCGGCUGUGUAAGGCACUUCUUCACAUAUUUGCAACCCAUCUCCACGUGUGAAAGAAAGACAGAAAGAAGAAAAAGGAAGGAAGGAGAAAAAGAAAGAAAUGAAGUGGACAAGAAGGAAGAAAGAAAAAAGAAGGAAGGAAAAGAAAGAAAGAAAAAUUUAGCUCUGUCAAGAGUUCUCAUCUUGACAGCCCUGGUAGAUGAAGGAUACUCUUCAUCCACAGUUUCCCAGCUCAUUGCUUGUCAAAAUGAGAUCUCUCUGGGGUCUACAUAAGGGACAUUUGGGGGGCCAAUACAUCUCCAUGGUCAGCUCUUGCCCUCGCCACUGAGACUGCCAAUUAUUAUUCCUGUUGGUAGUACAGAAAUAAUUAUAUCAAUUAUAUAAAUGUUACUUAUUUCUGUAUUUAUUGUGUUACCUUAGUUCUUAGGAGACCUUCCUGUGAAACUAGACUCUGCUGUAAUAACUAAUGCCCAACAGACAAUAAAAGGUUGGUCCCUAUUCCAAAGCACUUACAUUUAAAGUACAAGCUGACAGUCUAAUGCUAAGCAUAAUGCAUGGGAGUGUGUGAGAGAGAAGGAGGGAGAUGAGGGCAAAAAUUUCAUAGAGGAAGUCAGCCAUGAGGACAUGGAUUGUUUCUUGGAGGAUGUUCCAAACACACAUGAACUUUUAGGCACAAGGAUGGUACUGGGCAGUGUGGGCUAAAGGAUAUAUCCGUCAAGCGUAGCAGAGCAGAGGGCAUAAAGGUGCUAAGUUAUUUAGACUUAGAACUAUUUUACAAGUGGAAAUUAACUUGCAUAGCUAUAGCAGAAUAGUUAUGGCGAUUAUAGGCCUGUGAGCCUAAGAAGAGAGAGAGAUCACUAUAGUGGUAUAUCAAUAGCUGCAGUCAUGCCAUAAUAACUCUCAUUAAGAACACUGCCUUCCAAAAUCAGAGUGACUUGACUUCGGAAUAACUACUCUGCUUCAGAAACAAGACAAUUAUUCCACGAUAAACUCCCUUUCAUUCUGGAAUGGAGUGAUCAUUAAGAGGCAAACUCCUUCAUGGAAUUGACACAUAAAUAGAGGGGCAACACUCAGGCCAUAAACCUGGAGCAAAGUGCAUUGUGAUGAUAACUGUACACAGACAAGCAGGCAGCCCAAAGUCUUAAAAACAAGUAGGCUAUGCAUGGAAAGGUAAGCAUUUGAAAUUGGGAGCAAACUGGCCCUGACUCACCCAGAGGUACAUUUUCCACUGUCAGAGUAGGGCUAGGCUUGUAUCAUGUGCUUAUAGCCUGAGGUCCGGGACACAUCAGCAGGGAAACUUUAGCUUUACUGAGAAAAGGGAAGUUUGAACACAUGGUACAGUCCCUUGAAGUGAGAUAAAUCUGCUGUAGCUAACCACUUCUUCCUCAGUUGCAAUGAGGCCCAUCCCUUGAGGACUUCAGGCCAGGGCAAGGUCAUUUCUUCUUGUAAUAGCCAUUUACUUGUACAUUUACUAGAUGCCCAAAGGCAGCUGCAUCCAGACUUUUGCUUCAAGGUUCCAUGUCUUGGGGCAACCUCUCAUUGUGUUCUUAUGGCCUAAAUAUACAAGUGCAAGCUAAAUAGAUGCAGCCAGUUUGAACAAGGAAAAGGAUGUCCUGUUCAGUUUAUUAAACUGCACCUGACAAGGGGAUGUCCCUUGUUUAUGCAGAUAAUCUCCCAUUCUCCUUUUCUGGAAAAAAAUUAGCAGCAGAAAAAUUAUUUCUUAGUGCAUGGCCUAUAGGAGCUCUUAGUUCCCUAGUAUGAUAAGGCAGCAAGAUAAGUAGGCUGGUAAAAUGAAAAGUGGUUACAAAAAUGUAGGAGUCUCAGUUUAACAUGUGAAGGAAAAUGAAACUAAUUAAAAAGCCACUUAAAAUAUUCCCCUCUGUAAAAGAGAGAAAUGUUACACCACAAACAAAUUUGUUACAUUCCUGUGUGUGAUGAUCAUGCACUAUAUUCGUUGUCUUUAUUGUUUGGAAUGACUCAGAAGCACCAAGGCAAACGUAGCCUACUGUAUCUUUUGAUUCAAGCGGUUAAAGUAAAAGGAAGACAUUUAAGAUA